rnacentral:rRNA from 1 species
CGUGUAGGCGGGAAUGCAAGUCAGAUGUGAAAUUCCGGGGCUCAACCCCGGCACUGCAUCUGAAACUGUGUUUCUUGAGUGCUGGAGAGGAAAGCGGAAUUCCUAGUGUAGCGGUGAAAUGCGUAGAUAUUAGGAGGAACACCAGUGGCGAAGGCGGCUUUCUGGACAGUAACUGACGCUGAGGCGCGAAAGCGUGGGAGCAAACAGGAUUAGAUACCCUGGUAGUCCACGCUGUAAACGAUGGAUACUAGGUGUAGGAGGUAUCGACCCCUUCUGUGCCGGAGUUAACACAAUAAGUAUCCCACCUGGGGAGUACGGCCGCAAGGUUGAA